GCUGGGUGUGGUGGCACACGCCUGUAAUCCCAGCUACUUGGGGGCUGAGGCAGGAGGAUCACUUGAACCCAGGAGACAGAGGUUGCAGUCAGCCAAGAUCUCACCACUGCACUCUAGCCUGGGUGACAGAGUGAGACUCCGCCUCAA
rnacentral:SRP_RNA from 1 species